AUUGAACGCUGGCGGCAUGCCUUACACAUGCAAGUCGAACGGUAACGGGCCUUCGGGUGCCGACGAGUGGCGAACGGGUGAGUAAUACAUCGGAACGUGCCCGAUCGUGGGGGAUAACGAGGCGAAAGCUUUGCUAAUACCGCAUACGAUCUACGGAUGAAAGCAGGGGACCGCAAGGCCUUGCGCGGACGGAGCGGCCGAUGGCAGAUUAGGUAGUUGGUGGGAUAAAAGCUUACCAAGCCGACGAUCUGUAGCUGGUCUGAGAGGAUGAUCAGCCACACUGGGACUGAGACACGGCCCAGACUCCUACGGGAGGCAGCAGUGGGGAAUUUUGGACAAUGGGCGCAAGCCUGAUCCAGCCAUGCCGCGUGAAGGAUGAAGGCCUUCGGGUUGUAAACUGCUUUUGUACGGAACGAAAAGCCUUCUUUUAAUACAGGAGGGUCAUGACGGUACCGGAAGAAUAAGCACCGGCUAACUACGUG
rnacentral:rRNA from 1 species